rnacentral:lncRNA from 1 species
CAGUAAACCACAUACCGAUGAAAAGGCAGCAUUUUCUAGCUAACAAAACAGUUUGCGGUGCCAAGGGACAGGGAAGUCUUUUUUUCCAGCAAGGUUUACACAGUCCAAGCAGUCGGGGGAAGGACUGUAAUUCCAGGAAACUCAGCUACAAGAAUUUGACAUUUUAACAGGAACCAGCUAGCAUUGCAACCUUGAGAGGCGACAGCCUGCUACAGAGAAGAGGAAGAAGAACCAAGACAGAUCCAAAGAAAGGAUGCUGCCACCACGCUGACUUCUGGUUAGGUGUCCUUGGACAGAGAAGAAUGGAGGCAGGAUACAGAAUAGAAAGCCAAGGAAUGUUCAAGAAGUCACGUGGGAAAAGCAAUAUGAAAGCCAAAGUUGGAGAAAUUUUACCCUGGACAACGUUGAGAAGAUUCUUGGAGGGGCACUCAGAAGGCGUGACAAGACGAAGGCUCCCUCCAAGAGCUCUCGUAGAGCGCUCACCAAGACGUGAGGAGACACCACUUGCCCAGGCUGCAAGCGCGAGGGCUCUCACGGCCGCGGAAGUCCCCCAGGAUCUCCGAGCUCCACCCACCAUUUCGGUGCAGGGGCACUCGCGACCGCAGGGCUUGGCCGGAGCAGUUUCCGGGCACAUCCCUCCAGUGGCUCUUCUACACCGCCGUCGGAGAGAGGACCCAGCGGGCAAGACCCCUGCCUGUCCCGCGCGCGCUCAAACUCUUGACUUCCGCUCUGCAUCCCUGGUCCCUGCCCUGUCCCUCGCCCUUGGGAGCAUCCACUUAUCCUUCGGGGACCUCACGUGCCUGAGCACAGGGGUCCUCGAGGACUAGCCGGGGUGACCGGGCGUGGGAGGGCGGUCGGAGCUGGGAACGCGCAGCAGUGUCCGGGGUGAGAGAGCCUCCCGACCCCUGGGCCAGGGGAGGGACACGGAGAGAAAGUCCGUAGGAAGGAGAUGGACACAGAAUUGGGAGACUCUGGGGGUGGGGGGUGGGGAUUUACCCCUUGUGGUAAGAG